GACGAACGCUGGCGGCGUGCUUAACACAUGCAAGUCGAACGGAAAGGCCCUGCUUUUGUGGGGUGCUCGAGUGGCGAACGGGUGAGUAACACGUGAGUAACCUGCCCUUGACUUUGGGAUAACUUCAGGAAACUGGGGCUAAUACCGGAUAGGAGCUCCUGCUGCAUGGUGGGGGUUGGAAAGUUUCGGCGGUUGGGGAUGGACUCGCGGCUUAUCAGCUUGUUGGUGGGGUAGUGGCUUACCAAGCCUUUGACGGGUAGCCGGCCUGAGAGGGUGACCGGCCACAUGGGGCCUGAGAUACGGCCCAGACUCCUACGGGAGGCAGCAGUGGGGAAUAUUGCACAAGGGGCGGAAGCCUGAUGCAGCAACGCCGCGUGCGGGAUGACGGCCUUCGGGUUGUAAACCGCUUUCGCCUGUGACGAAGCGUGAGUGACGGUAAUGGGUAAAGAAGCACCGGCUAACUACGUG
rnacentral:rRNA from 1 species